rfam:Ancylostoma duodenale strain Zhejiang A_duodenale-1.0_Cont5220.1, whole genome shotgun sequence.
UUUCUGCCCACCUGGAUGUCGAUCUUAGUCAUACGCUAUGUGAAUAUGACUAGAGACACAUUCAGCUGGGCGUUAGC